CGAAAAACUUGCUGAAGCACUGAAAACCACCAGGCCACUGAGAACAGCGGCCACAGCAUACGGCACGCAGAUGGAGGGAGUUGCUGCAAAGGAGUUCCAGAGGAAGUUCCCAACAAUAGUGUAUCAGGCUGGGCUCUUGGUGCACCCUGAACAAAGAUGGCUAUGUGCAAGCCCGGAUGGGGUAGUGCGGCUGGCUGAUGGCCUUUAUUUGCUUGAAAUCAAAUGCCCAUUUGGCCGGAAAGGACAGCCAAUCAUUGACUGCAAAUCUGAAACAAGCUACGUUCAGUACCUACAGUAUGAAGGAGGGAAGCUGGUGCUUAAAAAGUCGCAUCAAUACUAUACACAAGUGCAAAUUGCAAUGUAUGUCAUGAAUGUAACAGAGGCAUUCUUUUUUGUAUAUUCUGAUGCGCAGUCAGUGAAUGUGAUGGUAGAGCGUGACGAUGAUCUGCUUAGUGAACUUGUUCCAAAACUAGAGACAUUCUAUUUUACUCACAUGCUGCCAAGAAUGGCUCCCAGGUCUAAAUGAAUAUGUAAUUAGACCUUAAGUUUUCUGGUUUAAUUUUUUUGGUUAGUCCACGUAUUCUAGUCAGUUCAAUUUCUGUAAGUUGGGACCUGGUGCUCUGUAUGAUAUUUCAAAUCGUGUUGAAGCAAUA